GAGAAAACUCGCAAGGACUGCUAACCCAUGCCCCCAUACUUAACACUAUGGCUUUCUCA
rnacentral:tRNA from 1 species